rnacentral:rRNA from 1 species
ACAAGGUCUCCGUAGGUGAACCUGCGGAGGGAUCAUUACCGAGUUGUCGCAAGACAAUCUCCCUUUCUUGUGGUUGACUAUGUUGCCUUGCCUUCGGGCAGGAUUAUUCUGAAUCAGUGUCGUCUGAGUAUUUUUUAAUAAAUCAAAACUUUCAACAACGGAUCUCUUGGUUCUGGCAUCGAUGAAGAACGCAGCGAAAUGCGAUAAGUAAUGUGAAUUGCAGAAUUCCGUGAAUCAUCGAAUCUUUGAACGCACAUUGCGCCCUUUGGUAUUCCGAAGGGCAUGCCUGUUCGAGCGUCAUUACACCUUCUAUAAAGGUAUUGGGAGAUGCACACGCACUCCUUAAAAACAGUGGUGAUAACUGUCUACUCACGCAUAGUAAUCUCUGCGACGGCUAUACAGUAAAACACCGAUUCUCUUGUUUGACCUCGGAUCAGGUAGGGAUACCCGCUGAACUUAA